rnacentral:rRNA from 1 species
UACGAAGGGAGCUAGCGUUGUUCGGAAUCACUGGGCGUAAAGCGCACGUAGGCGGAUGUGUCAGUCAGGGGUGAAAUCCCGGAGCUCAACUUCGGAACUGCCUUUGAUACAGCACGUCUUGAGUCCGAUAGAGGUGGGUGGAAUUCCUAGUGUAGAGGUGAAAUUCGUAGAUAUUAGGAAGAACACCGGUGGCGAAGGCGGCUCUCUGGUACGUGACUGACGCUGAGACGCGAAAGCGUGGGGAGCGAACAGG